rnacentral:lncRNA from 1 species
CACCUGUACAAUGGCUGUGAAACUGAAGUGAAGAUUCCUGCAGCUGACGUUGACAUACAGGCUGUAGCUUUCCAGGACGGGACAUUAUCCGAUGAAAAAUUAGAUCUGCAGGGCAGAGCAGACCGCCGGUACCAUCACGGAUUUCCAUCAGGGCUACUUGCAUAGUGGACCUAACCAGGAAGGCAUUAACGGCCUACUACCGGGGAAGAGACAAGUGAUGGAGAAGUUUUUUAAGCCUGUUCAUAGACCUUGUGCCCCAGAUGAGAUCAAACUGAGGAAACACCAUCAUCAUCUUCACCCUUACCAAGAACCUAAGUUCUACAGAUACACGACACUUGAUGAAACAGACAGAAAUGUAGAUCAAAACCAAAGGCACCAGUGUUCCCAGCAGCAUAGAGGCUCUGACCACAAUGGCCCCCACCACACUACCUACCAGCGUCAUCAAACACCAAUUCACCACAGUGAGGAGAGUGAAGUUCUCUAUAACCACCCUACUCCUGUAACACUCUCGGCAGCCUCUUCCUCUUCGCUUUCUUCAUCCUCUUCUUCAUUCUCCUCUUCCUCGUGGUACACAGAGGCAAGCGCAAAUGAUCCAUUUUCCCUUCGCCACGCAGAGCGGCCACAGCAUUCCCUGUCCUGCUCCAACAUCGCAGAUGUGCCCAGAGGUUGCCGGGAAGAUGAGAACAGCGAGCCAAUUGCCUUUGCCUCCAAUAAACAUGGCAAGAAAGACAGCGUGUGUAGUGAGACACAUGCGACCAUGCAUCCAAAGGGAAUGCAUGGUUUUCCCUCUCUUGACCGAGGCCACAGCAGAAGCGAGGAGGGACUUUUGCAGGUUAACGUAAGUGACCGCGAAAAGGAACAAUCCAGAGCACCGCGUAUGAAGUACGGGCCCCUGUAUAAGACAGCUAGCCUGAACCGAGGGUUGGAGUUUAGUGAACAGGACGCUCUGCUGGGUGUCUCCAGAGGCCCCAAGAGAGCCGUGUCUUCUAGCCAGCUUCCCAGUAAAGGCAUCCUCAAGAACAAGCAGCCCCAAAUUGACAUACGUAAAACUAAGUCAAUGGAGGUGCUGUCGCCAAGAGUUCUCAAAGAACAAGCUCCGAGUGCAGAGAAGGGUAAAGGGGUUUCUCAAGCCGAGGUAGAGCAAGCCAGGGUGAGGUUUGUGCAGGGAAAGGUGCAAUUUUCAGCCUUUUUGGAUGAGAUAACAAAGCAGGUGAUAAGUCCGUCAGAUCUCACCAUCUUGGGUUUGAAAAACAAUGAAACCAGCGGGAAGACACCUGGCCCUGUCAGGCCCCAGCUCCCACCCAAGAAACACAGAGAGAGGUCAGAGGAGGCCAGAGAGCUACAUCCAAAGCAACCCAGCAGACAGGAUAAAGCAGCCGGCAGCAGCUCUCGGAAACAAUCGGACUGCUCCAAUCCUGAGAGCGUGAUCUCGUGUGCACCAAGGAGCAACCACACAAGCCCCUCGCCCCAUCGCUACCCCAACUCUGGCAGCCACAGCGCCCACUACGGAGGAAGCCGGAGGGACCGGAGACCGUCGCCCACGGGAGGCUCUGUCACAGGAGACAGAUAUAGGCGGUGUGGCUCUCACCUCACUGAUGACACCAGCACCAGCCCUGAACGCGGCCAGUCCAAACAACGGCACCACCGCAAACAGCAGCCCGCCCUGCCCCACGGUACUCAGGCCCAGCGCCUCCCUCAGUACCCGCCCCAGCAGGUGCCGCUAGGCUCCGGCCACAGAGGCCCCGCUAGGUCCCCGUCGUCUGGAGCCCCGGGUGCCGAACCGGGCCUCAGGUCUGAGUCCUCAUCCUCAAAAUCAGAUUCAUCCAGGACCAGAGACACAGCCUCUACGGCCACCAGUUACAGCAGUUCAGAGCAGAGGGGUCGGCACCAUUAUAAACAAAGUAGGGACACACCGAGUGAUGCUGAACGUCUUCAUGCACUGCAGGAGGACAACGCUGAUCUUCACCAGAAUUUGCUGCAGACAGUGGUUUGCAUUGAGAGUCUAGAGGCGGAGCUGCAGAGAACCAGGGACGAGCUCAGUCACGUCAAGGAGAAGUAUAACAGCCUCCUGGAGAGCCACACUGGGACCAAGCAGGCCAAUAACCUGCUGGGGGAGCAACUGCACGUAGCGUCGGAGAGUCUGAGCAGCGAACGAAAGCACCUAUUAAAGCAAGUGUCGCAGCUGAGCUCCGAGCUGGAGGACGCCCACAGAACCAUCGCAGCCCUGGAGAACAUCAACGUGCCGUGCUUGAUUAAGGGGUUACUGGAGAAGCACUUUGACUCAGCUGAGGCCGUACAGAGGUUUCUGUCUGGCUCUGCUCCAAAAAGCUAUUCUGCUACCUCUCCACAAGCAGACGGCCGAUCACACCCUCCUGAAGUUGGGAGGGAAGCACACGGCUGGCUGGCAAAGUCAGAGGCAGGUCUGCAGAGGGCCACGGCCUUCGUGCCCUUUAAGCAGGGGCCGCCAGCACCAGGAAGCGAGCCCUGCCUCGCGGAGCAGCGCGAGUCCUGCUACAGCCCCCCGUUCUCCGUGGCUGACAUCAGCAGCGCUAUCUGUAACAACAUGGCCGACACGGCACAUCCUGCGUGUCCCCGGAGCCGGCAGCAGCCGCCCCCGUGCGCGGACCACGCCGAGCCCCCGCUGGAGCGCCGGCAGGGUGACAGCUGGGGCGGGACGGGAGGGGUCAUGGUGUCGCUUCUGGAGCAGGAUGUUGUGGAUGUGACCGCCAUGUCAGCGCAGAAAAUCCUGGAUGAGUUCAUGCAGCAACUGCAAGCCCAUAAGGAGGUGGGCGGAGGGAAGGCGCAGCAGGGCCGGCAGGGGCUGGUGAGAGGAGCAGAACAGGCAGGAAAGGUGGCACAGUGAAAGUAGCAGCCAAGAACAUGGGCAUUCUCGUUUUGUUGGUGGAUUUGUUCACACAUGUAAGCUUAUUUUUUGCCUUUAGUUCAGUAUUUCUUUCACCCCAAACUAGAAUAAUAAGUAAAAAAAAUAGUAGAACCAUCAUUAAAGGAGAAGCCUUUAAACUUCUGCAUUAAUAGUUAACAAACCAAAUGUAAAAGCAGUGUAUUAACAACAAAAUAAAAAUGGAACAUGCAUCA